rnacentral:rRNA from 1 species
GAUGAACGCUCGCGGCAGGCCUAACACAUGCAAGUCGAGGGAGAAGCCCUUUCGGGGGCAGAAACCGGCGCACGGGUGCGUAACGCGUAUGCAACCUACCUUUCACAGGGGGAUAGCCCGAAGAAAUUUGGAUUAAUACCCCAUAAUAUUAUUGGAUGGCAUCAUUUGAUAAUUAAAACUGCGGUGGUGAAAGAUGGGCAUGCGUCCUAUUAGCUAGUUGGAGUGGUAACGGCACCCCAAGGCUACGAUAGGUAGGGGUCCUGAGAGGGAGAUCCCCCACACUGGUACUGAGACAGGGACCAGACUCCUACGGGAGGCAGCAGUGAGGAAUAGUGGUCAAUGGUCGGAAGACUGAACCAGCCAUGCCGCGUGCAGGAAGAAUGCCUUAUGGGUUGUAAACUGCUUUUAUAUGGGAAGAAUAAGGCGUACGUGUACGUUGAUGACGGUACCAGAUGAAUAAGCAUCGGCUAACUCCGUG